GGCGCGAAAACUUUACAAUGCUGGCAACAGCGAUAAGGGAACCUCGAGUGCCAGGUUACAAAUCUGGCUGUCGAGAUGCCUAAAAAGCAUUUCAUAGCAAGGGCCGGGCAAGACCGGUGCCAGCCGCCGCGGUAACACCGGCGGCUCGAGUGGUAACCGUUAUUAUUGGGUCUAAAGGGUCUGUCGCCGGCCGGAUAAGUCUCUUGAGAAAUCUGGCAGCUUAACUGUCAGGCUUUCAGGAGAUACUGUCUGGCUCGAGGCCGGGAGAGGUGAGAGGUACUUCAGGGGUAGGGGUGAAAUCGUGUAAGCCUUGAAGGACCACCAGUGGCGAAGGCGUCUCACCAGAACGGACCUGACGGCAAGGGACGAAAGCUAGGGGCACGAACCGGAUUAGAUACCCUAGUAGUCC
rnacentral:rRNA from 1 species